GAUGAACGCUGGCGGCGUGCCUAAUACAUGCAAGUCGAGCGAACGGACGAGAAGCUUGCUUCUCUGAUGUUAGCGGCGGACGGGUGAGUAACACGUGGAUAACCUACCUAUAAGACUGGGAUAACUUCGGGAAACCGGAGCUAAUACCGGAUAAUAUUUUGAACCGCAUGGUUCAGAAGUGAAAGACGGUCAUGCUGUCACUUAUAGAUGGAUCCGCGCUGCAUUAGCUAGUUGGUAAGGUAACGGCUUACCAAGGCAACGAUGCAUAGCCGACCUGAGAGGGUGAUCGGCCACACUGGAACUGAGACACGGUCCAGACUCCUACGGGAGGCAGCAGUAGGGAAUCUUCCGCAAUGGGCGAAAGCCUGACGGAGCAACGCCGCGUGAGUGAUGAAGGUCUUCGGAUCGUAAAACUCUGUUAUUAGGGAAGAACAUAUGUGUAAGUAACUGUGCACAUCUUGACGGUACCUAAUCAGAAAGCCACGGCUAACUACGUG
rnacentral:rRNA from 1 species